rnacentral:rRNA from 1 species
CAAUAGCGUAUAUUAAAGUUGUUGCAGUUAAAAAGCUCGUAGUUGGACCUUGGACCUGGACAGGCGGUCCGCCUCACGGCGAGUACUGUCUUGCUGGGUCUUUCCUCUUGGUGAUCUGUUGUUUCGGCAGCAGGGAACCAGGACCUUUACUUUGAAAAAAUUAGAGUGUUCAAAGCAGGCUCGACGCCGGAAUAUAUUGGCAUGGAAUAAUAAAAUAGGACGUGCGGUUCUAUUUUGUUGGUUUUUGGAAUCGCCGUAAUGAUUAAUAGGGACAGUCGGGGGCAUUAGUACUCACAUGCUAGAGGUGAAAUUCUUGGAUUUUGUGAAGACUAACUUCUGCGAAAGCAUUUGCCAAGGAUGUUUUCAUUAA